rnacentral:lncRNA from 1 species
ACCUUGUUCUCAUGACUUGUAUCUGCCAAAUCUUUGUAUUCUUGCUGCUGAGUAUAAUGUGCAAUUUUAGGUACCUGAGAAUGCAAAUUAACUAAAUGUUUCAGAACUGACUGUUUCAGAAUAGUUAGCCUCUCUGUUUUUGUUUCAUGAUGCAUAUAUAAAUUUAAUAGGAAUUUUUAUGCUUUUUACCUUGUUCUCAUGACUUCUAUCUGCCAAAUCUUUGUAUUCUUGCUGCUGAGAAUAAUGUGCAAUUUUAGGUACCUGAGAAUGCAAAUUAACUAAAUGUUUCAGAACUGAUUGUUUCAGAAUAGUUAGCCUCUCUGUUUUUGUUUCAUGAUGCAUCUGAUUUUUCUUUUGCUUACAGGAAAUCAUCUAUGGCUAUCUAUGAUGUCUGCAUAUUUGGACAGGUGCUUCCAGAACUGGCAUCAUACACCAAUUCUAGCAUACGAAAUGGAGGUGGUGCAGCAGAUAGUCACAUACCUUUGACUAGCCAAAAGCACUUUUAUCACCAGGUUUCUUUCUUCAUUUUGUUCUUCCUGCUGAUAGAUCUGAGAUCUGGGUUUCAAUUUGAGGAUCAUCCAUUUUUUGCUAACAGAUCUGUGAUCUCUCUAUGGAAGAGAGAGAACUAAACCCUGGGGAUUGGAGGAGAAGUACGCACUGAGAGAGAAUCGUCAGCACAAAUUGAUCAGAAUUAUCAUAAGACAGGAGGAGAUCUGAGGUCUAUUUCCCCUUACCAUGGUGGCGGCUGGAUGGGAGACGAGGAAGAAAGCAGAGUCACA